AUUGAACGCUGGCGGCAGGCCUAACACAUGCAAGUCGAACGAGUGGCGGACGGGUGAGUAAUGUCUGGGAAACUGCCUGAUGGAGGGGGAUAACUACUGGAACCGGUAGCUAAUACUGCAUAACACCAGAUGUGCCCUGGUGGGUUUAGCUUGUUGGUGGGGUAACGGCUCACCAAGGCGAAGAUCCCCAGCUGGUCUGAGAGGCUGACCGGCCACACUGGAACUGAGACACGGUCCAGACUCCUACGGGAGGCAGCAGUAGGGAAUAUUGCACAAUGGACGCAAGCCUGAUGCAGCCAUGCCGCGUGUAUGAAGAAGGCCUUCGGGUUGUAAAGUACUUUCGGCGGGGAAGCGUUACCCGCAGAAGAAGCACCGGCUAACUCCGUGCCAGCAGCCGCGGUAAUAC
rnacentral:rRNA from 1 species